GGCCUUGUGGCGCAAUGGUAGCGCGUUCGACUCCAGAUCGAAAGGUUAUCCGUUCAAAUCGGGUCAGGGUCA